rnacentral:tRNA from 1 species
GGGUCGAUGCCCGAGUGGUUAAUGGGGGCGGAUUGUAACUCCGCUGGCGCAUGCCUACGCUGGUUCAAAUCCAGCUCGGCCCA